CCCUCUUCGGGGUUCCAGCACAGAUGCUGCAUGGCUGUCGUCAGCUCGUGUCGUGAGAUGUUGGGUUAAGUCCCGCAACGAGCGCAACCCUCACUCUUAGUUACCAGCGGGUAAUGCCGGGGACUCUAGGGGGACUGCCGGUGCCAAACCGGAGGAAGGUGGGGAUGACGUCAAGUCAUCAUGGCUCUUACGUCUAGGGCUACACACGUGCUACGAUGGAUCGGACAGAGGGUCGCCAACUCGCGAGAGUGAGCCAAUCCCCAAACCGGUCCUCAGUUCGGAUUGUAGUCUGCAACUCGACUACAUGAAGCUGGAAUCGCUAGUAAUCGUGGAUCAGCUACGCCACGGUGAAUACGUUCCCGGGCCUUGUACACACCGCCCGUCACGCCAUGGAAGUUGUGAGCGCCCGAAGUCGGUGUCGGAACCCGCAAGGGACCAAGCCGCCUAAGGCGAGCGCAAUGACUGGGGCGAAGUCGUAACAAGGUAGCCGUAGGGGAACC
rnacentral:rRNA from 1 species